GACGAACGCUGGCGGCGUGCCUAAUACAUGCAAGUUGAGCGCUGAAGGUUGGUACUUGUACCAACUGGAUGAGCAGCGAACGGGUGAGUAACGCGUGGGGAAUCUGCCUUUGAGCGGGGGACAACAUUUGGAAACGAAUGCUAAUACCGCAUAAAAACUUUAAACACAAGUUUUAAGUUUGAAAGAUGCAAUUGCAUCACUCAAAGAUGAUCCCGCGUUGUAUUAGCUAGUUGGUGAGGUAAAGGCUCACCAAGGCGAUGAUACAUAGCCGACCUGAGAGGGUGAUCGGCCACAUUGGGACUGAGACACGGCUCAAACUCCUACGGGAGGCAGCAGUAGGGAAUCUUCGGCAAUGGACGAAAGUCUGACCGAGCAACGCCGCGUGAGUGAAGAAGGGUGUCGGAUCGUAAAACUCUGUUGGUAGAGAAGAACGUUGGUGAGAGUGGAAAGCUCAUCAAGUGACGGUAACUACCCAGAAAGGGACGGCUAACUACGUG
rnacentral:rRNA from 1 species